rnacentral:rRNA from 1 species
AACGAACGCUGGCGGCAUGCCUAACACAUGCAAGUCGAACGAGACCUUCGGGUCUAGUGGCGCACGGGUGCGUAACGCGUGGGAACCUGCCCUUAGGUUCGGAAUAACUCCCCGAAAGGGGUGCUAAUACCGGAUAAUGUCUUCGGACCAAAGAUUUAUCGCCUUUGGAUGGGCCCGCGUUGGAUUAGCUAGUUGGUAGGGUAAAAGCCUACCAAGGCGACGAUCCAUAGCUGGUCUGAGAGGAUGAUCAGCCACACUGGGACUGAGACACGGCCCAGACUCCUACGGGAGGCAGCAGUGGGGAAUAUUGGACAAUGGGCGAAAGCCUGAUCCAGCAAGGCCGCGGGAGUGAUGAAGGCCUUAGGGUGGUAAAGCUCUUUUACCCGGGAUGAUAAUGACAGUACCGGGAGAAUAAGCUCCGGCGAACUCCGG